rnacentral:lncRNA from 10 species
GGCCCUGGGCUUCUCUCUUCUACACUGUACCCAAUGCACAGCUUUUGUCAUUGAUUAAAUGCCGCAGCUCGCCGGGAGCCAUUUAUCAAUUUCAUCAGCUGCUUAUGGCUUUAUUUACUACAAAGGAAGCAAGGCUGAGUUGCACAGAGUAGGCAGUCCCUUCAGGAAGAGAAGGUGUUUGUAAACUGGGCCAGAGCAAGGACAUGCGGGACCCCCGCAGAGUGAACUGACAGAUCUUGAUGUUGUGAGUAUCUGGAAGAGAGGUGGACACCCUCCCUCGGGGAGCUAAAGGCACACCUGGCCCAGGGGUUGGAGAAGCUGAAGGAGCCAGCAGGAGGAGAUGGAGCAGCAGAAGGAGGUGGAGCAGCAGGAGGAGGUGGAGUAGUCACAGUCCCACACCGCUGCCCCAUGCCAUGAAGGUGAGCCAGCAGAGGCUGAUGGGGCAGCACAGUGAAGAUGGCACCUGUCAAGUCAAGAGAUGGAAAAGCUGUAACUGAACCCUGAAAGUCGCUUAACCUGGGACCUUGACACAUGGAAGAACUACACUUCUCUGCACUUCCAUUUAGAGGUGAUCAUGG